rnacentral:rRNA from 1 species
AUGGAGGUGAGGUUCCCCCUUAUCCUCUCUUUCUCUUCACCACAGGCAGCCCCUAACCCCCUUGGACUCGAUUUGGCAGGCCGUGUGCAGGCGGGGAAGGAAAGCGUGGCGCGCCUGAUGCGCGAGCUCGAGGGCGUCGGCCUGCUCGUCGAGCGCGUCCGCGGCGUCCCCGCCAAGUUCAUCAAGCUGUCCGCGCCCAUGGGGAUUCUGGGCAGAGCCGCUUUUGAGAUGCAGAUGAAGAAGCUUACCUACAUCAGUAACUCGACUAAUGCACCAAGUGUUUGA